rnacentral:rRNA from 1 species
AUGGUUGAUCCAGAAGUUGAAAUUGUGAAGAGCCAGUAUGUUGAACCGGGCCGGCCCACUGCCCUUGCCCAAUGCACCGCCAAGGAAGAGUUUGCUCAGAGCCGGAGGUCCAAACAAGACAUCACUGGUUACUCUCAUCUAAACAUUGGUGAUAUAGUUUCGGGCUAUCUGAACCAAGUACAUAGUAGCCGUGACUUGGAAAUUGACAUGGUGAAGCAAAUACAGCAUAAAUCUAAGGCCACCGCAAGUCGAUUUGAGGCGGAGAUUGCUGAUUUGAAGAGCCAGUUGAAAACCCAAGAGCUCGAAGCUCAGAAAGCCAAUUCAAAGUUUGAAUUCAGUAUCUCUGAACAAGAGAAGCUGAAGAAGAAUUUUGAAUCGGAAAAGAAGGCUUGGGUUGAUGAGAGGGCUUCAUUGGUGACCCGGGUUGAGACAGCAGAGGCAUCUCUUGCCGAAGCAACAAAUGAGUUGUCCGACUUAAAGCGACACAUAUCCCAAAUGGUCUCAGCUAUCUUUGGCCCCAAGAGUACCAAUCUGAAGGAAAACAUGCUGGUCAAGCUUAAGGCAGUGUACACCUUGACAGAGCAGCUGUACUCUGGGUCACAGCGGGCGUUGACCGCUGUGGCUUUAUCAAAUACCUCUCCCCGGCUCCUGCAAGACGUAUUGAGACAUCUGUCGGUGCUACCUCAACGCAUUCAAGACUUAAGGCGGGCAUUUGCGAGAGCCAGAGCCGUGGCUGCGCUGAGUCGGGCAAAAGCCUGGGUGCCAGAACUUGACCUUGCUGACCUCUCUCUUGGAUAUCCAAGUCGUAAGGAGGAUGGCACUGCUUUUGGCGAACAGGACUUCACUGCCUGUGUUAAGGUCGUCCGCCCUCUGGCGACUCUCAUUGGGGAGGACACUGAUCUCACCAAGUAUUCGCCGGGUUAUGAUAGCAAGAACCGGAGAAUCCCCAAUGUCCCAUAUGACCAAUUCAGCCUACUCCCUCCAACGCAUAAGCAUACCUUUGCCCCUGAAGUGGACCCGGCCAGUUUAAUAGAUGAUGAAGCUGAAUUUGAAGCUUUGAGCGGCAUUGACUGGGCCUCGUCCACCUUCCAGGACACAACAACCGAAGGAGAGGCGGGGAAGGAUAACCCGGAGUGA